GCCUAGUUAGCUUGGUUGGUAGCGCGUCUGGCUUGUAACUGCUAGGCCGCGGGUUCGAUUCCCGCCCGGGGCG
rnacentral:tRNA from 1 species